rnacentral:tRNA from 1 species
GUUUCUAUGGUGUAAUUGUAACACGGGACAUUUUCAUUGUUCAGUUAAAAAAUUUUUUUUAGAAACU